GGAAUUAAUGAGGACGGAAGCUCUUCUUAUGGUUUUUCUGGCGCGUAUAUAUGAGGAGGCGCGUACCAGCAAAUGAUAUUCGCUACCUUACGGAACCGACUGGAUCCUCGAAAAACCAUAUCUUUUGUGACAAUCACAACCUCUGAAACGCCAAGAUGAAACUCAUCGCCUACAUCUUCGCAGUCCUCAUGGCUCUGCUCGUAGUACUCUCGUGCUCACCUCUGGCUCUUGUGAUGGCAGGAAGAGCCAGGAAUGGAAGCCCUUCAACUGCUCACACCGGAAGAAGUGCAACAUAAAACAUGCGCUGAACGAAUAAUGAGACCGAGGGGUAACUAUCCUGUUGGUGGUGUUGCUUUCUUCCGGGCAAAAUCAGAACUCAAAAUAGAAGAAUCCUGUCGAGGUUCUCUCUGCUAUAAGCUGAUUUUAAUGUAAAUUAUAAAAUAAUCUAAUAAAAAUGUAAGCUAUCGA